ACAGUACACAGACAGAAACAGAAUCCACAGACGACAGCAUUGAAAAGCGGUUACAUGGUCUUACUCACAAAACAAGGCAGACUACAGUCUCUGAUGCAUCCAAAGUUGUUGAUCAACCAGAUGAAGCUAGUGAAGAGAGAAGUUCAAGCAGGAGACGCGGGGUGAGGCAGAACAAGAAAGAGACAAAUAAAAAUGAACUUGAAAAUGGGCAAAGUACAGAUGAAGCAGAGCAGAGAAGUACACGGAGUAAAAGGAAGCAUGUUCGGGAGACUGGUGAAAGAUCUCCAAGAAAGAAGAAAAACACACAAUCUGAUAGAUUAUUGGAUGUCUCUUCAGAACCCAGAGUUGUCUCACCUAGAGCAACAAGACAACGUAGAAAUCGUCGCACGUGACCUUUUGGCCUUCUGUUCCAAGUACAAAUAUAAAUGAGUGACCUAACCUCUAUGGUGGUUUUUUUAAAUUGUCAAUUCAGAUUAUAUUUUAAAUAUGACAAUAGGUUUAUUUCUGUGUAACAGGUGUAGUUGUAACUGUACAUAAAUUAGUAGGUUGUAGCUAGUAUUGUGGAAUUUUUGUUUUAAUAAUAAGACCUAGACCAUUUGGUAUUAUUUUUACUUCCCAUGAUUAUUGUACUCUUGUAAUGACUGUCGUGUGUAAUUAACCCUCAAUAGUCAUCCAUUUUAAGUAUUAGUCGAGGCUAAAUACCUCGAGCGUACUUCAGCUGACUUUAAAUUUUAUUUGAAAAGUUAUUGGAUUUGAAUAUAAUUUUAAGUGUUAAAGACCUCACCCGAAACAUAUAUUUCUUUAGUGUGUUGAAGUUUGAACUGAACGGAGACUACAUGUUUUGAAUGUAUGCAAGCUAGAGAGAAGAUACCCACCAAUACAGCUAAUAUUUUGUCAUGGAAUAUAGCCUUUUCCAAACUAAAUAUUGUAUAGUAGUUCUUAAAUUGUAAUAAGUUUUUUAAUAUUACUUUAAUGUAUAAGAACCAGAGAUGAUUUAGAGAAUUGUAAUAUUUUAAAGUGAAAUAAGAACUUCCAUUUUCACUUAUUUUUAAAAACACUGUAGCUGUUUCUUCUUCUUAAUCAUAUUCUCUCAUUGUUAAUAGGCACUGUCUUGGAGAUGUAAUUCAAACUGACUGUUCUGUUAUUGUCACCCGUCCUACAAGCACACCAUUGUAGAAUUCAAAAGUAGUAUUUCAGUUUUACUCACAAUUUCUUCUAUAAUGUAGAGCAUUGUAUAAAAGACCUAAUUGUCUUUCCACUUUGGUUUAUUCACAUUUUGUAAUGACUGUAGUCAUGUGUAAACUAAUUGUUAUUAAUUUUUAUUUCCUCCAUGUUUCCAAAUUUGUCUGUUUAGAAUUGUGUGUUAACUUUGCUACUUUUGGUGGCAGAUAUUUUAACUAUUACAGUUAGCAUAUGCUAUGCUACGUGUCCAGCCCCUAUUCCCAUGUUUCUGUUUCAUCUACCUUCACUGGUUCAUUAUUAUACAUAACAAAUAUUUAAGCCAAAUUUGGCUUCUUGGAAGAGGUUUUGCCAUUCUUGGGAAAUGUAAACGCUUCAGUCAACCAGAGAUAUUAGAUCAUCACUUAUAAAGGGAACAUAUUAAUUGAAGAUUGAGCAGAGUAUUGCAUACCAUUUUCAUAUUACAUGCAGUGUUUCUAGAAAUGUGGAUGGGUGAGAAGAUCCUUGCACACACCACACCACGCAAUUUAAAACUGUACUUCAUUGAAGUAAGUACUUAAGUUUGAUGUUGGGUAUAUCACACAGUCUUGUAUGGUGCAAUGUCUUUUUAUAUAACAACAUUGUAAUGUAUUGGUUUUGUAUCUCCAGCAUAAAUCAGUGUUAAUGAAUUAAUGAUGCACUACUUCAAAGAAUUUAAAAGUAGUUGUAUGUUUUCAUAUAGCGUUGUUAAAUUUAAAAAUCCAAAAGGGUGUAAAUAUUGUAGGUAUUUAUUGCCACAGUGAGACAUUAGUUUCACUAUCAUUUUAAAGUAAAGUGCAGACAUUUUGUGUUUAUGUGGAAAUAGGUGCAAGGAAUUUUAUGAGAAAAUUUGAAAUACAAUAACUUGGUUGUUUGCACAGUUAUUUACAUGAAGGGAUCGGAGAGAUAUAGUGUUAAGCCAGGUGUAACUAGUUUUGAUAUACAGCAACAGUCCAUGUUCCGUGGACAGCUAUAAAUGUUCAGUACAAAGUAGAAAUCUUCUUGGUUUUGUACAUAAUAGUUUAUUACCUCGCCAGGUGUGUAGUAAAAUACUCGACUCUUUAUGCAUUGUAAUUAUAUUGAAUCAUUUUACUUAAGAUGUCAUCAGUAGUGGCUUAUUACUUUAUCUCCCAGAAAAGAAUGUAGAAUGCAAAAUAUGAAUUUGUUAGGAAUUAUUUUGAACUACACUAAAAACAGUGACCAGUGUAUAUAAUUUUUACAUAUUUAUAUAUGUGCAAAGGUCAUUCAGAUUAAUAAAUUAUUUUAGUGACUUAGCUACAUCAAGAGAGUUCCUCUAACUCAUAAUUGUUCACAUUAUUUCCAAUAGAUGACUGAAAGAAGUGUUAGUUUGCUGCAGAUAUGUACGCCAUGAGAGAUGGUACACCAUAAUUUUUUUCCUGCAUAAUCAGAAGUGGCUUUCUAUAUUUUACUGGCAGCUGAAAUGGAUAUGGUUCAGCAAGCCUUCAUUUCUUUUCCUCAUAAUAUGGAUAUCCACUGAUGCAAGGGCUCCUUUGUCAGAAUAGCAGUGCUCCACACUUUGGUUGAAUAGCUUCACUGAAAUGAAUGAGCUCUACGAAUGUAAGGGGUGUUUAGAGAUUGCCUUAAGAUUAUCCGACAUCCAGACGUCUUAGAUUUGGCACUUUGGUCAGAAUGAAAUUUUUUUAUUGUAUUUUACUACCACAACUUCAUUGCAGACACAAUCACAAUUGCAAAGGAGUCUAGUGUGACCUGCCACAGGACAGUAAUGCUGGGCAGAUUUAAAUCUUUUGGUAACAACGAGAGAGAGAGACUUCCAAAGCACAAAAGGCCAAAUUCUUUCUCUAUUCCUUUCUGUUACCUGAUUAUGUGGAAAUGUUUUGUUAGAGGAUUAGUUAACUUCAAAUAUUUUAUCAAGCAGCUCCAAACUUCAUCUGAAUCCGUUCAUCUUUCUCACUCCAUAGAAAUACAUCUCUUUCUGAUCCACAGUUGUGGAUACUGCAAUCUCUCCAUACUUUAAUCUUGUCAAAUGCUAGAUCAACUGUUUGGAUGUGGGGAACAUUUAUUGUUUAACUGUAAAACCCAUCGUAAUUUACACAUUACAUUCUUCAAUCUUCUUGCCUGUUCUGUAACCCAAGAACCCUUGAGAAAGCUUCCUUGCAAAUCAUGCCUUUCAUUCCAUAUAUCUUCAUGUUAUUUAAAAAUGUAAGAACUGAAGAUUACACUUUGUGGGUAAUCCUUUUUGGAAUAGCUAUGAAAGAAAGAUAAAAUAGAAUGAAAUAAAAUUACUCAUAAGAUACUAGUAAAUUUUUCUUUAUAAAACAAACUUUCACAUUUGAUGCCAUAUUUAUGAAAUUUGUCAGGUAAGUAUUCUGGACGUUAAAAUUUUCUGUAUCCAAAAAAGAAUAAAAAAAUAUUUCCUUCUUUCCCAUAUAGUUGUAAGGCACACACAAUACUGCUAAAAUGGCAUUCAUGAAAAAUAUUUGUGUUGUUAAAACUAUAUUAUUACAGCAUUAAGUAGUCUUUGAAGUAUGCCCAUAAAAUUUUCCCACUACCACAAAAAUGCAUUCAAAUGUGUGAACAACAUUAGAGCAAAGUCACUAAACAAUGAUUACCAGUAAAUACAGAAAUGUUAUCUGAGCUGGAACUGUAGCUCAAUGGAUGCCAGGAUUCAUCACUGUCAGUAUCAAAAUGACCACAUUAGUUUCCACUACUCUCAUUGGCAACUAUUCGUUAAAUAUGUGAACAAGGUUCAGAUGCUCCUGAGCUAGCUGCCAUUUUGCUGUGAUAUGUCUGUCUUCUAAAAAUACCACCAGAUGGCAAAGUACAAAACUUCACUGCCAUUUCCUGCCAUCUGUUGCUAAAAGACUGAGCUUUUUUGACAAGAGAUGAGGGUAUUUUUAAAAAUGUCAUAACAUGAAAA